CCCCUCACAUACAGUUUACUCAAGUUACGCCUAUAUAUCAGUGGCCCAUGAUGUAAAGUAUGUCCAUAUUAUUACGUUCCAGUUUUAUAAAACCUCUAUACGACCUAUUUUAUGCUGACGCGAGUGGUAAAAGUCAGGUGGCUGGACCGAGAAUCGUAUCUCGUUUGUUAUUGCCUUAAAAACUGAUUUACUCGGGACCGGACUUCUA